UUAACUAAGUUUCAAUUGUUUGUAGCCUCAAUUCUAAUCAAUUCAAAGGGCCAAUUAUUAAAUAGACAUAAGUGCUUAUGUAAAAACAUGACUUAAAUCGUCAAUUUCUCACGACAGUUUUCUCGCCCACGCAACUAAAAACUGGACUCGGAAAAAAUGCGAUACUUUGUUUUGGGUGUAGCUUUUUAUCGCGUGGGUAAAAAUUAAUGAAAUUUUUGGGCGCCAAACCGGACUGACAAGCAAAACACGGUGGCCAAAUUGCGUGCGUGGAAGCUGUACCGUGAGUGGCUGGUCAAGCCAGGCUGUCUCGUCAUGGACGGCGAGACAUACAUCAAGGCGGACACCAAACAAAUCCCCGGCCUCGAGUUUUUUGUCGGUACGUCCCGCAUGGAGGUUCCGGAAAAGUUCCGGAAAGAAAGAUGGACAAAUUCGCGAAGAAGUACAUGUUGUGGCAGGCGAUCUGCGAGUGCGGACGGUACAGCAAGCCGUUCGUUACAACCGGCACCAUAAAC